AGGCCAGCUGUGAGGGAGGGAAGUCGAAGCAGGUCGAGAAAGUUGGCGCUUUUAUCAGAUCGUUUGUUUGGAGUCUCUGUUUGUUCCAACCAUUGUGUUCCUUCAUGCUCCUCCAGAGACUACUAUCCGGAUUGUCCGUGCCAGUGUUGUGACUCUUGCAUCUUUCACCGUGUGAUGUUGUCCGGGGCCCGAGGAGUUCUUACAAACAGAUUGAUGGCAACAAUGUACAUGGAUGGUUCAGGGGUGAAGAAGGCCUUUAAAAAACACGGCUAUGUUGUGUUAUAAUAGGUGGCAAUUGCAUCAGAGGGAGAAGACUUCACAGUGCCUCCCUAUACAUGGAUGUCAGCUGACGUCAAUCACUUGUCUUCCGCCAUUUUGAGGACCUGAAGUGGUCGCAAAAGAACUAGAAGCUAUGCCUUCAAUAUGCUGUGAGCAUCAAAAUCGCUAUUUUAACAACACUAAGAAGGCUCAACACAACAUGAUAUUUUGCUCGAAGUAUCGCCUAUGUCUCUACACGUGAACUCGAGCAUUGAGAACAUUGUUUGUGAACACAGAGUUAACUAAAAAGAAGGUUUUGAACAACUCACUUUGGAUGAUUUGGCGUCCGCUCGCCGCUUUCUUCCCAGUCAAGAUGUAUCGAUCUCCAAUUGCGACGUAAGGAGGGAGGAGAGUAAAGAUGAUAUCUCCUAAAGCAUAGUUCCUUAAAA